AUUGAACGCUGGCGGCAGGCUUAACACAUGCAAGUCGAACGGUAGCAGGAGAAAGCUUGCUUUCUUGCUGACGAGUGGCGGACGGGUGAGUAAUGCUUGGGAAUCUGGCUUAUGGAGGGGGAUAACUACGGGAAACUGUAGCUAAUACCGCGUAAUAUCGAAAGAUUAAAGUGUGGGACCUUCGGGCCACAUGCCAUAAGAUGAGCCCAAGUGGGAUUAGGUAGUUGGUGGGGUAAAGGCCUACCAAGCCGACGAUCUCUAGCUGGUCUGAGAGGAUGACCAGCCACACUGGAACUGAGACACGGUCCAGACUCCUACGGGAGGCAGCAGUGGGGAAUAUUGCGCAAUGGGGGGAACCCUGACGCAGCCAUGCCGCGUGAAUGAAGAAGGCCUUCGGGUUGUAAAGUUCUUUCGGUAUUGAGGAAGGGAUGUGUGCUAAUAGUGCACGUCAUUGACGUUAAAUACAGAAGAAGCACCGGCUAACUCCGUG
rnacentral:rRNA from 1 species